rfam:Beta vulgaris subsp. vulgaris Bvchr2.sca013.con0088.1, whole genome shotgun sequence.
AUGUGCCUGGCUCCCUGUAUGCCAUUCACAGAGUCUAUCGUGUAAUUGAUGGCCUCUGUGAAUGGCGUAUGAGGAGUCAAGCAUAC